GCUGGAGGAGCGCAGUUGGUCGAGCGUGAGACUCCUAAUCUCAGGGUCGUGGGUUCGAGCUUCAUGUUGGGCA